GCGUAAAGGGCUCGUAGGCGGCCAACUAAGUCCGACGUGAAAUCCCCAGGCUCAACCUGGGAACUGCGUCCGAUACUGGAUGGCUUGAAUCCGGGAGAGGGAUGCAGAAUUCCAGGUGUAGCGGUGAAAUGCGUAGAUAUCUGGAGGAAUACCGGUGGCGAAGGCGGCAUCCUGGACCGGCAUUGACGCUGAGGAGCGAAAGCCAGGGGAGCAAACGGGAUUAGAUACCCCGGUAGUCCUGGCCCUAAACGAUGAAUGCUUGGUGUGACGGGUAUCGAUCCCUGUCGUGCCGAAGCUAACGCAUUAAGCAUUCCGCCUGGGGAGUACGGUCGUAAGGCUGAAACUCAAAGGAAUUGACGGGGGCCCGCACAAGCGGUGGAGCAUGUGGUUCAAUUCGACGCAACGCGAAGAACCUUACCCAGGCUCGAACGGCAAUUGACAUCCGGCGAAAGCCGGCUCCCGCAAGGGCAGUUGUCGAGGUGCUGCAUGGCUGUCGUCAGCUCGUGUCGUGAGAUGUUGGGUUAAGUCCCGCAACGAGCGCAACCCUUGUCCGCUGUUGCCAUCAGGUUAUGCUGGGCACUCUGCGGAGACUGCCGGUGAUAAACCGGAGGAAGGUGGGGAUGACGUCAAGUCAGCAUGGCCUUUAUGUCUGGGGCUACACACGUGCUACAAUGGCCGGUACAAACCGUCGCGAUCUCGCAAGAGGGAGCUAAUCGGAGAAAGCCGGUCUCAGUUCGGAUUGCAGGCUGCAACUCGCCUGCAUGAAGUUGGAAUCGCUAGUAAUCGCGGAUCAGCACGCCGCGGUGAAUACGUUCCCGGGCCUUGUACACACCGCCCGUCACAUCACGAAAGCCGGCUGUACUAGAAGUCGCUGAGCCAACCCGCAAGGGAGGCAGGCGCCUAAGGUAUGGUCGGUGAUUGGGGUGAAGUCGUAACAAGGUAACCA
rnacentral:rRNA from 1 species